UUCUUUAUAGAAGAAAAUAUAAAGUAUAACCUGCUCAAUGAUUUUUAAAUAGCCGCGGUAUUUGAUCGUGCUAAGGUAGCAUAAUAAUUUGUCUUUUAAUUAAGGUCUAGAAUGAAUGGUUGAACGAAAAAUUAACUUUUUUAAUUAAAUUUUUAUUAAUUUUAUUUUUUAGUAAAAAAGCUAAAAUUAUUUUAUGUGACGAUAAGACCCUAUAAAAUUUUAUUUUUUGUUUGUUUAUGAAUAAUUAGUUUUUAUCUUUUGUAAAUUUUAUUAAAAAUUUGGUUGGGGUGAUUAUUUUAUUUAAAGAACUAUAAUUUUUAAAUUUCACUAAUUUGUGAUUUAUUGAUCCUAAAAUUUAGAUUAUAAGAAUAAAUUACUUUAGGGAUAACAGCGUAAUUUUCUUGGGGAGUUCUUAUUUAUAAGAAAGAUUGCGA
rnacentral:rRNA from 1 species